rnacentral:tRNA from 1 species
AAGGUCCUAGCUUAAUUAAAGUAUCUGGGUUGCAUUCAGGUGAUGAAGGUUAAUGUCCUUCGGGCCUUA